UCAUUCCAAAGGGCAAAGCGGAGCCCGGGGCUUUCCAGCGGGACGGGAAGGGCGGCUUCGGGAGCCCCAUUCCCAGGGAAAGCCGACGGAGAGGGAACAUGAAAAGCGCCGGAGCCGCCGGCGUGGGCGGACUGGGAGAGGAUGAAAAGCCGGGAUCAGGCUCCGCGGAGCCCGGAGGAAUUCCAGAAUUUGGGAACGAGGGGUACCAGGAGCUGGGCAGCCACCCCUGUUCUUAUCCGGGUGGGAAUUUGGGGCAAAUCCUCGAGGUUUGGCUCCGUCGGGAUCGGAUCCCGGGGGCGUUUUCCAGCCCCGGCUUUUCCCGAGGCGCCGCCGGAGCCGCCGCGUCUCCUUUCAUUUUCUCAUUUUCUCCUUUUCCCGCGACCGGCCCGACCGGCCGGACCGCUCCGCCGGGAAAUUCCGCCGGGAAGCUCCCGGAGCCCGCCGGGAUCCCCCCUCGGGGUUCCAGCCCUUUCCCCGCUCACCCUCUCGUCCCCCCGCGUGGAUUCGUUGUCCAGCAAAGGCUCUCCCGGCGCUUGGAUCGUCACCGAUUUGUCCCCGCGCGUCCCAUCCCGGCUUUUGGAGCGGUGCCGCUCCCGCCGAUCCCUGGGAAAAGCGGGAAAAGCGGGGGGAAAUUGGGGGAAAAAGGGGGAAAAACGGGGUUGGGACACGCACCGAGAUGGGGGCACCCACAAAAUUUGGGGAUGGGGAACGCGGGGCGCCUCACCUGUGCUUGCGGGAGCUGCGGGAAUGGCCGGAUUUGUAGGAAUAUCCGGAAUACUGCGACUCAUUAUCCAUGGCGUCGGAGCGCCGGGCUUUGUGCCGCUCCAGGAUGUGGGAUUUGGGUUUUCCCGGGAGAGCGGCCAGGGCCUCCUUCAGCGGGGGCUUCUUCAGGCCCAGGGGCGCCUUCAGGAAGUCGACCGUGACCUUGAGGGGCUCAAUUUUGUCACCUUGGGGUGGCCUCGCUCAGGAGAAAAGGACGCGCCCGCCUGCGGGGACACGCGGGGGGCGUCACUGGGGCCGGCCCAGUAUGGCCCAGUAUGGCCCAGUAUGGCCCAGUAAGGGGGGAAGGGUCCCAGAGCCCCUCCUGACCCUGCAUCCCAUUUCCCGGUGGGAAAUGGGGCUGGGAA
rnacentral:lncRNA from 1 species